rnacentral:rRNA from 1 species
GACGAACGCUGGCGGCGUGCUUAACACAUGCAAGUCGAACGGAAAGGCCCUUUCGGGGGUACUCGAGUGGCGAACGGGUGAGUAACACGUGGGUGAUCUGCCCUGCACUUCGGGAUAAGCCUGGGAAACUGGGUCUAAUACCGGAUAGGACUACGGCCUGCAUGGGUUGUGGUGGAAAGCUUUUGCGGUGUGGGAUGGGCCCGCGGCCUAUCAGCUUGUUGGUGGGGUGAUGGCCUACCAAGGCGACGACGGGUAGCCGGCCUGAGAGGGUGACCGGCCACACUGGGACUGAGAUACGGCCCAGACUCCUACGGGAGGCAGCAUUGGGGAAUAUUGCACAAUGGGCGCAAGCCUGAUGCAGCGACGCCGCGUGAGGGAUGACGGCCUUCGGGUUGUAAACCUCUUUCAGUAUCGACGAAGCGCAAGCGACGGUAGGUACAGAAGAAGCGCCGGCCAACUACGUGCCAGCAGCCGCGGUAAGACGUAGGGCGCGAGCGUUGUCCGGAUUUAUUGGGCGUAAAGAGCUCGUAGGCGGCUUGUUGCGUCCAUCGUGAAAACUCAGGGCUUAACUCUGAGCUUGCGGUGGAUACGGGCAGGCUAGAGUUCGGUAGGGGAGUCUGGAAUUCCUGGUGUAGCGGUGAAAUGCGCAGAUAUCAGGAGGAACACCGAUGGCGGAGGCAGGACUCUGGGCCGAUACUGACGCUGAGGAGCGAAAGCGUGGGGAGCAAACAGGAUUAGAUACCCUGGUAGUCCACGCUGUAAACGUUGGGAACUAGGUGUGGGGUGCCUCUCCGGUGUCCUGUGCCGCAGCUAACGCAUUAAGUUCCCCGCCUGGGGAGUACGGCCGCAAGGCUAAA